UACGAUCUGCGGUCUUCACAUUUGUCGCAAUACCGUAGAUUGAUCCUCAGCGAUUUCAGAUUUUCAUCGCAUAUCAGUUAUGCGAUCCACAUAAUUAUUUCGCGGUCCGCAAAGUAGAUCACAGAUUCAUCUCUUUGGAUCACUAGAAUUCCUCUUGUAUUUGUGUCAUAAUUUUGCGGUCCGCACAUCAGUUAUGCAAUCGCGUAUUAAACCGCAUUUGAAACUCUUAAAGCCAGGCAGGCACGAUACCAUCUAUGAUUGAAGUGCGGUUCACAUAGCUAGUCUUCGGUCGCAGAUCAGCCGCAAAACUGACUUCUUCAGGUUUUUGACAUCUUUUUCAUGUUCUUGCCUCUUCAAGUCCGAUUUCCUGCAAAACAACAAAACUACAUGAGAAACGACUAAAACUGCUUUAAAAGUAGCUAAAGUCUAUGAAAUUAGUAUUGAAAGUGCUGCAUUCUUCGGCACAUCAUCGGUCGAUGGUGGUUGUUACAUUAUAAUGGAGCAACCUCCUAUACCACGGCCGAAACCCUAUGUUGGAUUGAGACAGGGAAAAUAACAUACAAAAUAUUAUUUGCUUUAUCUUUAGAAGUACAUUGUAUGUGUACUUAUAUAGGGAUAGAUAGGGUACACAAAUUACUAAAAUUACUGGGCUUUGCCCUAGUGGGCUCUAAGAGCACCCCUUAUGGAUGGACUAUGUUUCUUAUAGUAGUUAAAUUCAAACUAUGCUAUUAAGCAAAUAAAUGUUUAUCCAACAAUGAUUUAUUUUUUGAGCAAAUAAUUUAACUUUUGAAUAUUCAGUAUGCAACAUUCAUGAUUUUAUAAUAAUUAGUAUCUAUUUACGUGCUUUGCACGUACAUCUCACCCUAAUGGUUGAAAGAGUGAAAAAUAUGUGUUUUUGUAGCUUCAUAUAAAAGAGGUUUUUUGCAUUUUCAUGUUAAGACGGUGUCACUUUACCCAUUCAAUUAUUAAGUUAAUAUCUUUUGUAUGUUUUUUAUAAUAUUUUCUUUAUUUUUCGGGUAAAAAUAAACAUAUAUUUAAUGAUUCGGUCGAUCGUUUUAUGUAUUGUAGACCUGUUCCCUUAUAUAUUGCCUCUUAUAUGUUCAUUUUUGGUUAUGUGACUUACCAGGAUUGUUGGAUUAGUUUCAGAAAAUUUUUGGAGUGAAUUGGGACACUUAGUCCUAAGGUUGGAAGCUUAAGUAGAAAGAGAUGACCGGAGUUUAACUGUGUAGCUGAAUCCACAAUGGUCUUUUGAUGAUUCCAAUAGCUUUUUAUGGUGAUUUUGGACUUAGGAGUAUAUCCGGAUUUGGAUUAGGAGGUCUGUAGGUUAAUUUGAUACUUUUUGGCGAAAGUUGGAAAGUUGAAGGUUGAUAGGUUUGACCAAGAGUUGACUUUGUUGAUAUUGGGUUUGGAUUUUGGUUUUGAGAGUUGGAAUAUGUCUGUUGUAUCAUUUGAGACUUGUGUAUAAAAUUUGAGAUCAUUACAAGUUGGUUUAAUAUGAUUUGUCAUGUGUUUUAGAAGUUGAAAGUUCAUUAGUUUUAUUAGGCUUGAAUUAGGGUGCGAUUCGUUGUUUUGAUGUUGUUUUAAGAAAUUUGAUACAUAGAGUAAGUUCGUGGUAUGUUUUGGGAUUGGUUGGUAUGUUUGGAUGAGGUCCCGGGAGGCCUCGGGUGUGAUUCAGAUUGAGUUCGGAUUCAUUUUGGACGUUAAGGAGUUUGCUGAAAAAUCUGUCUUCAGCUAUUUUUGCACCUGCAAUGGGAUUGGCUGCAGAUACGGAGCCACAUGUGCGGCCUCUUUUGCACAGGUACGAGGUUGGCCUGGCUGGGGGAUAGGUCAUAGAUGCACAAAAGUUUCCGCAGAAGCGGAUGCGCUUCUGCGAGGUUGAUUUGCGAGGAAAGGGUUUGUUAGAGUACUCAUUUGGCUAGCUUGAGGUAAGUAUCUUACCUAAACUUGGUUUAGGUACUAGUUGCCUGAAAUAUUUAUGAUAGUUAUGUGCUAUGAGUAACGCAUAUGUGUUGGGAUGAGCCCAUAUGCUUGCACCGGGGUACUAUUUCUUGCUCGUGGUAGUGCUUAGGAUAUGAUAAGCCUUGAUCUGAUUGCUAACCUUAAUGUUGUGUUGUUUCUCCCAUGUGUACCCAUGUUGUAGGCUAUAUGUACCACAUUUGAGAUUAAAUUGAGGUUAUUCUCCUUAUCAAACUGAUAAAAUAUUAUUUCGUGAUGAAAUUGUCUAAUCUAGUUGUGAUAGAACACCUACACUAUAGCAUGCUAUUUAUACCAGUCCAGGAGUAUGAAACUUGAUAAUCAUUGAUCAUGUACAUGUAUUCUUGUAUAUUUGCUUUCUGUGUGCUAUGAUCUGGACUGGUAGCAUUUGAUCACGUCGGGCAGAUUGUGAUUAUUGGCACGUGAGUUGUCCACGCUAUUUGUAUUAUUGGCACGUGAGUUGUCUAUGUAGCAUGUGAGUUAUUCGUAUAGAUCCAAAUAUUUAUAUUAUUAGCACGUGAGUUGUCCGUGCGGAUCCGAAUAUUGAUAUUAUUAGCACAUGAGUUGUCCGUGCAGCACGUGAGUUUUCCGUGCAGUGUGUGGAUAUGGAUCCAUCCUCCUAAGGUCACCCUCUCAUUUUUCUCUCUUGAUGGUGUACGUGCGGAUUGAGGAAAAUUGAUCAGUGGUUUUGUACUGUAUUGGAAAUUCUAAGGAAAAUCUGGUCAGUGCUAUUGGCUUACUGCAUUUUAUUUUUACUUGCAUAUCAUCUUUAUAUGCUGGAUCAUUGACUGAGCAGAGUACUUGAGUAAUUAUGGGCACAAAGGUAGUUUUAUCCGUUAUUUCCUGAUUUGAUCAUACCUAUGUUUGUACUUGUUAAAUUUAUGAACUGUACGGGUUAUAGCAAGUAUCAUUUACAAUUCUUGUUGCUUUUACCUCGCCAAGGUUAGAUAUGGUACUUGCCAAAUACAUUGGGUCAGUUAUACUCAUGCUACACUCUGCACUUAAUUGUGCAUAUCCAGGUGUCAGACCCAGUCAUCAGUAGCAGAGAUGAUUGAUGAGCUGAUUGAUAUUCGGGAGAAGAGGUAUAGUUUCUUUCUCGACCGCAAACUUGGAGUCUCUUUCCAUAUCAUAUUGUUUUCCUUAUGUAAGGCCCCGUAAAGGUUUACCAAAAAAACCCGGGGUUCCUGGUGCCAAGCUCAGCGUGGCGUGGACUUUUUGGGUUGAACAGUGCGUUGGGGAAUUGAAGAAAAUUUUUGGAAGUGCAAGGCGUUUCUGUGGUCCAUUCUGCGAUCGCAGAACUGAUCUGCGGACUGCAGAUCUGCCGCGGAGUGGAGCAGAAACCUGAGCUAAAUUUUAGGACCAAUAUGCGGUCCAUUAUGCUGCUGCAUAAUUAUUUCGUGGGCCGCACAAUCCAUCGCAUGUACCAUAUAAAGAUUUUCGGAGACCGAUCGCAGAGUGAAGCAGAAAUGCAUAGUUUCGGAGGGCCAUUAUGCGGCCCAUUUUGCGGAUCCAAGAAGCAUUAUACGGUUGCAUAUGCGACCGUAGAUCUACAUCGGAACUUCAUUUUUUUAGUUUUAUAAACCCAUCCCCAUUCUUAUAAAACAGUCCUAGGGAUCAUUGUAGAAGGUUCAAACUUAUGUUUUAGAGAGAGAAAAGUGGUCUAGAGUGAGAAAAGGCACUUUUAAGUCAUUUGUUCAUCCAUCCUUACUCGAGCCUUGAAGAAUUCACAAGGGUAAAUCACAAGGUCUUCAACGAAAAGGUACGAAUCUACACCCUAACCCUCAAUUUCGAGAUUUAACUAAAAAUAGGUAAUAAGGCAAGUAAUUCUUGGGUGUGGGAGUUGUUCAUUAUGCAUGCAUGUACUAUCUAGGGUUGUGGGAAGAUGGUUGAGUUCAAUUGGGUAGAUUUUGGUUAGUGGGAUAAAGGAAUUCAUCAUAGGAGGAUAUUGAAACCUUAAUUCCCACCUAGUGUUUGAUAAAAUGCUCGAAUGAGCUGGAACCAUGGACUCCUUCCUAAUUUGUGUUCAACUUUGUUAUAGUUCAAAAUAGAUCAAAGUGGCUAAGAUUUCCGAACAUUGUAGUAAUUUAAGGAAGCUCAAGGCGAGAUAUGUUGGCUAGACUCUUCUCUUAGAAUUGAACCCCACAAUGUCCUUGUAAUUCUCGAGUUGUUCAUCAUAAAUUGAUUAUUCCGAACAAGCUUUGUGAUAAAAGAUAUAUGCUCAAUAUGUGUUUCAAAUAUUCUUGAUAUGUUGUGUUACUAUCUGAGAAUGUGUUCAAAGUAUGGAUUGCAUAUCUAAAUGUUAUAACUUUAAGUCGUGUUUUAAAUGAAUGCUAUUAUGCCAAAUUGUAUAAGAAAUAUCUAUGUGCUUAAGACUCUUACUUGCUCACAUGAGGACUUAAAGUCGUUAAUAUAAAUGCUUUAUUGUUGAUGAUCCGUGAUGAUGUUUGAAAGUGAAAGAGGUGAGCAUGAAAUAUGAAAAUACGACCAACAUGCCAAGAACAACAUUACAUUCGGAGCCAUAGUGCCAAUGAAACUAAAGUGCGUGUAAAAUACAUUGAAAUGAGUUGUAAAUCCUUUAAAUAAACAAACACUUUGGGAGUAUCGUUAGUCACCGAGGAAGGGUAGGUUAAAAUAACCUAACCCUGAAACUACACGUGCCGGUGUAGGAGUAAAUUGCGAAUAUUCCCCUUUAUUGGGAUGAGAUGAUUGCUAAAAAAAGGUGAUGUCGAUCCAUAUGGCAUUGUGGUGAGACGGCCUAGCCGGUCGGGUCGUGAUCGGACACCAUGCCACACACAUGGUGGUGAUUAUGUUUGAAAUUAUGAUUGCGAUAAUGAUUGAGAUCGGGAUAAUAAUUGUGAUUGUGAUUGAUGUCUUGGGUGAGACGGCCUAGCCGAUCGGGCCUUGAUCGGACUCUGUGCAAAAUACACGGUGGCAUAUCUUUAUCGAUGCUAUGAUCUCCCAACCUAUAAUAUGGAAAUUACUUGAAAACUUAUAUUGCUCCUAACUUGAUGUUUUGGUAUUGUUUGAAAUUUUCCUAACUUGGUGACUUUUGAGAGGGUGUUUGGUUAUUCAUACUAGUACUAUUCCACUUAUACUAACGUCACACUGCAUCUUUAAUAGAUGCAGGUGGUUCCACAGCAGGCGGCUUUGAUCGUUGAUAGCGGUACACCCUCUUCCCAGCUGACUUGGUGAGCCCCACUUCAUUUUGGGGUCGUAUAUCUUUUGUCCUUAUGUAUUAUGUUUUGAGGUAUAGCUGGGACCUUGUUGCCGGCACUAUCAUCGUACUCUUUUGUAUCCAUUAGAGGCUCCGUAAACAUAGUGUGGUGGUAUGUUGGUGUUGGGAAAGUCAAACUUGUAAUGUUGUAAUUGUAUUACACGUUCCACAUCAAAGUAUGAAAGUGUUGUAUUUUAAACUGUAUUAAUGAUGUAAGUAUUGAUAAGGAAUCGAUGUUGUUACAUGAUUCUCCCCGAUACCUAAUUAGUGAAAUGGAUCUUUUCUUUAUUCGUGAGUGAGAUCGGAUAGAAGGCAUUGUACGGCUUGCUCGGCCGGGUUAUCUCGGUUGAGCACCAGUCACGCUCCCCAAGGUUGGUGCAUGACACCUUAUUUCAUACAGUGUUGCUAUUUUGGCUUUCAUACUUGUAUUUUCUUUUCGUCUUAGAUCUCAUGACUCUGUAUUUACCAGUUCUGGGGAAUUUGUCAUGUAUUCAUAUUAUUAUGUUAUGUUAAAGUUUUAGACUUAUGUUUAUUCUGUCACUUUUGAAUUUUUGGUUCAUUAUGGUUAUAUCCGGCUUACCUAGCAAGUGCGUUAGACGCCAUCACGACGGGUUGAGAUUUUGGGUCAUGACAAGUUGGUAUCAGAGCCGUAGUUUUAUAGGUAUUACGUGUCAUGGGCAGGUUUAGUAUAGUCUUGCGGAUCGGUACGAAGACGUCCGUACUUAUCUUUGGGAGGCUACCGAACUGUUAGGAAAACUUCACUAUCUUGCAUUCUUGUCGUGCGGAUUUGUUAUUUCCAAAUUUUAAACCUUGACAAUUCUAUUCUCUCACAGAUGGUGAGGACACGUGCAGCCGGAUCAGGAGGACGACCACCAGUUAGGGUCACAAGAGGCCGGGGCCGUGAUAGAGGUCGAGGUCGGGCUCGUACUACAACUAGAGCAGUAUCUGUGGAGCCACCAAUCGCUCAAACUGAGGAGAAGUUCUAUAUAUUUUUCGGCCAGUUGGACCAAAUUAGGCACUAGCAGUGCCUAUUGUUAUUCCUAGCCUUCAGGAGGCCUUGGCUCAGAUUUUGACUAUAUGCAUGAGCCUGGCUCAGGCGGUUUCGAUUCCAGUUGCACCAGCUACCUCACAGACUGGGGGAGGUGCCAGAGUCCUGCCUCAUGUACUAUAAAGUAGCUAGCUCAGGGUCAUCAAACACCGAGGGUGUUACUAGUUCAGCCGGUUAUUGCUACCCGGGCUGAGGUUGGUCCACUGAUGAGUGAUGAGGAGCAGAAGAGGUUGGAGCGAUUUGGGAGGCUUAAAGCCUCUAGAAUUCAGCGAAGGGGAGUCAAAGGAUGCUCAGGAUUUUCUAGACCGGUGUCAGUUUAUUCUUCACACCGCAGGUAUUUCUGACACCACUACAGUUACAUUCACUACAUUUCAUCCGACAGGGGCAGCCUACAGAUGGUGGUAAGAUCAUGAGUUGAGCAUGCCAACUAAUGUAGUGUGACUUACAUGGCAUGAGUUCUCAGUUCUAUUCUUAGAGAAGUUUGUCCCACAGACUCACAGAGAGGAGUUGUGUAGGGAGUUUGAGCAGCUUUGCCAAGAGUGUAUGACUGUGACCCAGUACGAGAUGAGAUUUGCAAAUUUGGCACGUCAUGCUAUAUGGUUGGUUCCCACUGAGGGGGAGAGGAUCAGGAGGUUCAUUGAUGGUCUCAACUACGGUUAAUGUUACAGUAUGGCUCGAAAUGUUACGACAGAUGCCAGGUUUGACUAGGUGGUCAAGAUUGCUAUGCGCGUGAAGCAGGUCCACAGGCUUGAGCAUGAGGAGCAGGAGGCCAAGAAGCCUCGUGGUUUAGGUUGUUUUAGUAGUGCCUCAUCUGGAGGUCAGUCACACUAUAGCAAAGGUCAUCCUUCUAGACCCGUUCAAACAACUCAACAUGUUCCUCGUAGUUCUUUAGUUUGCUACAGUUCCUAUAGUGCACGCCCAACUUAGUCAUCAUUCAAUGAAUUAUCGGUACAUAGUUCUUACCAUACUACAUCUGCACAGGGUUCCACAGGCGGUUAUUCAGAUUAUCAGGGUUAGCAGCUCCGUCAGAGGAAAGGUUGUUUUGAGUGCGAGGACUUGAGUCAUCUCAAGAGAGAUUGUUCCAGACUGUUGAGUAGGGAUCCGUAGUCGAGCUCUCACCCUAUGACUUCAGCAUCAAAAACUACACCACUCGUACAACCAGCUAGAGGUGGAGCACAGUGAGCACGAGGUCGCCCUAGAUGGGGAGGUUGUUCAGGUAGUGGUCAGCCCCAUUUCUAUACUUUUCCUGUCAGGGCAUAGGUAUUUGCUUUCUAUAUUGUGAUCGCAUAUAUUGUUUCAGUGUUCCACAAGUAUGCUUCAGUACUAUUUGAUCGUGGUUCAACUUAUUCAUAUGUGUCAUCAUACUCUGCUCGUUAUUUGGAUAUAUCUCGUGGUUCUUUAGCUAUGCAUGUUCAUGUAUCUACCCCGGUGGGUUAUUCUAUUGUUGUGGAUCAUUUAUAUCGAUCGUGUGAGGUGACUAUUGGGGGUUGUGAGAUGAGAGUUGAUCUUUUACUGCUUAGCAUGGUUGAUUUUGACUUGAUAUUGGGCAUGGAUUGGUUGUCGCCAUGUCAUGCUAUUCUUGAUUAUCACGCUAAGACCGUGAUAUUGGCAUUUCCAGGAUUGCCUAGGAUUGAGUAGAGAGGUUCCCUAGAUUAUGUUUCGAGUAAGGUGAUUUCAUAUUUAAAGGCUCAACAAAUGGUUGAGAAGGGAUGUUUGGCGUACUUGGUCUAUGCGAGGGAUAUUUGUGGUGAAUCGUUGAGUCAGUUCCGGUAGUGAGAGACGUCCUAGAUGUGUUUCUAACCGACCUGUCCAGCAUGCCACCCGACAGAGACAUCGAUUUUGGUAUUGUCUUGGUGUCAAUCACUCAACCCAUUUCUAUUCUACUGUAUUGCAUGGCACUUAUAGAGUUGAAGGAGUUGAAAGAGCAGUUGCAGGAGCUACUUGAUAAAUGCUUCAUCAGACCUAGUGUAUCGCCUUGAGGUGCAUCAGUUUUAUUUGUGAAGAAGAAGGAUAGUACUAUGAGGAUGUUAUUGAUUAUAGACAGCUGAAAAAAGUUACAAUUAAGAACAAGUACCCGCUAUAACGCAUUAAUGACUUAUAUGACCAUCUUCAGGGUGCUAGAGUGUUCUCGGAGAUUGACUUGAGAUUGGGGUAUCAUCAGCUGAAGAUCUGGGAUUCAGAUAUUCCAAAGACAAUUUUCAAGACCUGUUAUGGUCACUCUGAGUUUCUAGUAAUGUCUUUUGGGCCGACCAAUGCCCUAGCAUCCUUAAUUGGUAGCAGAAUUCUAAAUCUAUUAUGACUCAUAAAACCUAAGUAAGGAAAAAUUGAAUCCAACUAUCAGACCCAACUCCCACCGGAGCCGCGACGACGCAUAACACUACUUGCUAGGCAAGCCAACAGUCACAUAAGAACAAUGAAUUUAAUCAAAUAAGGCUUAAUAAACUCAACAACGAAGAUAUCAUGAAAUUCUAAGAAAGUAACAACAAUACUGCUACAACCAUCCCAAUGAUCUGCUGUCAACGAGUACAUGAGCACGACUGAGUAUCAAAAUACAAGACCAAAUCCUAAAUACAACUACAGUCAACCCUCUCUAUAACAACCUCGUUUGUUCCGAUAUUUUUUGGCUUUUAUAGUGAAUGACUAUUAUACACCUAUAAUAACAUUCAACGUUUAAAUAUUUUUUGGUUGUUAUAGAUAAAAAUUAUUCAAAAAUUAAUUAUUUUUCCUUUUCUAAUGUUAUAUAUAAAAGAUAAAAAAAUUAUUCAAAUUUAAAAUCUAAAAAGAUAUGCAUAUAUCACUAGUUAAAUAUUGAAGAAAUCUAAUACAUUAUUAAUAAAUUCAUAACUAAAUGUAUAAAGAUUUAACUCUAAGGCAGAAAUAGUAACGCUAACCAGAAAAACAAAUACUUUCAAGAUUAAUGGAAGAACUUUGUAAUUGUAGAUUGUUUCAUAAAUUUUAUUCUCUUACUAGCAAUAUAACGCUUAAAUUGGCGAAGAUUCGUGUCCAAAUUUUCAGCAAAAAAGUAUCCAAUAGUUUUCCCUUGAAGAUAAUCUAAGAGCUUGAUAGUUAAAUUUUCUAUCUAUAUAGUUUUUGGAAUAUGUCCAAUGGAAAAGAUAUCAUGUUGAAAUCUUCAAAUCUUAUAUCUUAUGCAAGAUGGAAACUUUGUUUAAUGAAAAAGAUUGUGGGCUUAUUUUUAUAAUUAUUAUUAGUAAUCUUAAUGAUUUUAUAUGGUUGUUAUAGGGGUAACUUUACAAAGAGUGUUCUUCUAUAAAUAUGGUUGUUGCUGUUAUAGGUAAAAUAUUGUUACAGAGAGGUAAAAUAUAACUUAAAAAAUUAGUUCUGAUGAAAACUUGGCUUUUAUAGUGAAUGGUUGUUAUAUAGGAAUGCUGUUAUAAAGAGGUCUGACUGUAUCUGAAUAGUAGAACAAUAAUAAUAAAAAUGAUGAAAGAGCACUUCAAGGUCUGCGGAUGGCAUAGACGCUACCUCGUAGUCUCCGUAAAGCUGGUAGCAACAGACUCUAGAGAUCACCGCGUCCGAAAGUACCUGGAUCUGUACAUGAAGUGCAUAGUGUAGUAUGAGUAUAACCGACCCUAUGUACUGUCACACCACCUUUUUCUGAAAAUAGAGAAUUUUUCCAAUUAAAAUGACAUUAUUCGAAAUAAGAUUAUUUAUUUAAUUAAAGUCACUACUUGGGAUAUUUGUUAUGGUGCCCCAAGUCACCGAUUUAUUUUAAAAUUCUAAAUCGAGGAAAUUAACUAUGUUUAAGUUUGCGAAAGCCAGAAGAUCGGGUAAGAAAUUUUAUUAACCCUGAAGAAGGUGUAAGGCACUCCUGAAUUCUGUGGUUUUGCACGGUCGCUUUAAUCACACCUGACUUAAUUAUUUAUUUAAUUACGUAUUUUUAAAACCUAUGUGAGUUUUACCUUUCACCGCUUUUAAUUAUGGCGUUAUGGAUUUAUCUUUAAAACGGAUUGCGUGUGUGUAGAUCCGUUUUGUUUAGUGUGCUAAAAAUCAUUUCAUGCGUAUAUGUACACAAUUAAUAACACUUUAUUAUUAUUUAGAUUGUUUUGCCCAAAAUUGCGUGAACGCAUACUUCGGUUUUAAUUUUGGUAAUCACAAUUAUGUCACGCGAACGUAUACAUAAUCGCGGUAGAUUAAUUAAAAGCGCGCUUAAAGUAUUCUAACAAUGUUCAUUAUACUUUCUAAAUUUUGAGAUUACUGUAAGGCCGUGAAUUAUGAAAAUUGUGAAAGAAAUGAUGUAAUCUAGGUACUAAGCUAAGGGCCAACAUGUUAUUUUAUCAUAUCAAAUUCAACUCUCUUUUCUAUCCAACUUAUCAAUUUACGGCUCAUUUGAUUCUAAAACCACUCCUCUUAAUUGAUAACAUUGCCCUUAGAUAUCAAUUUUCCACAUGUCAAGUACUUCAUAAACUAAUAAAACAAAAACCAGCUAUAUGAAAUUGACCCGAGAAACAAACGAAGUCAAGAAAGAUAAUCGGAGCAUUUGAGUAAGCAAAAACCAACUAGGACACACCUAAACAUUGAUAUAGCAGACAAUCCUUAUUCUUUCACUACUAAAAUAUUUAGAAAAGCAUAAAUACCACAAAACUAAAACAAAGAUAUAGGAAUACUAGUGAGUUAUAGAGCAAACAUACAAAUAGGCGCAAAACAGAGGUAAGUAAAACACCAAAACAUGCUGGAAGUUAAGGAAAGAACCUCAAAUUGAGAUCUUUAACGUUGAUAACAUUGGAAUACAAGAGUCGGCACACGAGUCAACAACCAGAACUCGGACUGAAUCUCUCACUGACGACCUCGAACCUCGACUUAAACUCGUCCGUACCUUCAACUCGAACUACUCCAAUUUUGGGAAUCUCUAUGCAUGUUUUAAAGGGUGAAACUGGCGAUCUUCGAGGUGGUUUGACGGGGUGUUUUAUAGCUGUAUUUUAGGUGGAUUUGGUGUGUUUUCACAGCUGGUUUGAUGGAGUUAUUUUGGGGUUACUUUCAGCUGAUUUUCAUGCUAGUUUGGCGUGAUUUUGGGGCUAGUUCAGGGUUGUUUCGCAGCUGUUGAAGGACUGGUUUUAGGCAUGUUUUCCAACACUUUUUCAGCAGGGUUUGGGACUUAUUUUCAUGGCUUUUGGAGCUGGUUUUUGGAAGUUAAAAUGGAGGGGAUGAGUGGAGUUUCAUGGGUGGUUAAUGGCUCGAGAAGAUAGGCUAUCGAACUUUUCCCGUUCUUUUUC
rnacentral:lncRNA from 1 species